rnacentral:rRNA from 1 species
AACGAACGCUGGCGGCAGGCCUAACACAUGCAAGUCGAACGAAGUCUUCGGACUUAGUGGCGGACGGGUGAGUAACACGUGGGAACGUACCUUUUGGUUCGGAACAACUCAGGGAAACUUGAGCUAAUACCGGAUGAGCCCUUAGGGGGAAAGAUUUAUCGCCGAAAGAGCGGCCCGCGUUAGAUUAGAUAGUUGGUGAGGUAACGGCUCACCAAGUCUACGAUCGGUAGCUGGUCUGAGAGGAUGAUCAGCCACACGGGCACUGAGACACGGGCCCGACUCCUACGGGAGGCAGCAGUAGGGAAUCUUGCGCAAUGGGCGAAAGCCUGACGCAGCCAUGCCGCGUGAAUGAUGAAGGUCUUAGGAUUGUAAAAUUCUUUUACCAGGGACGAUAAUGACGGUACCUGGAGAAAAAGCCCCGGCUAACUUCGUGCCAGCCGCCGCAGUAAAAC